rnacentral:rRNA from 1 species
GAGUUUGAUCCUGGCUCAGAGUGAACGCUGGCGGUAGGCCUAACACAUGCAAGUCGAACGGCAGCACAGUAAGAGCUUGCUCUUAUGGGUGGCGAGUGGCGGACGGGUGAGGAAUACAUCGGAAUCUACUUUUUCGUGGGGAUAACGUAGGGAAACUUACGCUAAUACCGCAUACGACCUACGGGUGAAAGCAGGGGAUCUUCGGACCUUGCGCGAUUGAAUGAGCCGAUGUCGGAUUAGCUAGUUGGCGGGGUAAAGGCCCACCAAGGCGACGAUCCGUAGCUGGUCUGAGAGGAUGAUCAGCCACACUGGAACUGAGACACGGUCCAGACUCCUACGGGAGGCAGCAGUGGGAAUAUUGGACAAUGGGCGCAAGCCUGAUCCAGCCAUACCGCGUGGGUGAAGAAGGCC